UACGUAGGGAGCGAGCGUUGUCCGGAAUUACUGGGUGUAAAGGGAGCGUAGGCGGGCGAGAAAGUUGAAUGUUAAAUCUACCGGCUUAACUGGUAGCUGCGUUCAAAACUUCUUGUCUUGAGUGAAGUAGGGGCAGGCGGAAUUCCUAGUGUAGCGGUGAAAUGCGUAGAUAUUAGGAAGAACACCAGUGGCGAAGGCGGCUUGCUGGACAGUAACUGACGUUGAGGCUCGAAAGCGUGGGGAGCAAACAGG
rnacentral:rRNA from 1 species